UGCCCAGACUCCUACGGGAGGCAGCAGUGGGGGAUAUUGCACAAUGGGGGGAACCCUGAUGCAGCGACGCCGCGUGGGUGAAGGAGCGUUUCGGCGCGUAAAGCCCUAUCGGCAGGGAAGAAGGAGGACGGUACCUGACUAAGAAGCCCCGGCUAACUACGUGCCAGCAGCCGCGGUAAUACGUAGGGGGCAAGCGUUAUCCGGAUUUACUGGGUGUAAAGGGAGCGUAGGUGGCAGGGCAAGUCAGAUGUGAAAACCCGGGGCUCAACCCCGGGAGUGCAUUUGAAACUGUCCAGCUGGAGUGCAGGAGAGGUAAGCGGAAUUCCUAGUGUAGCGGUGAAAUGCAUAGAUAUUAGGAGGAACACCAGUGGCGAAGGCGGCUUACUGGACUGUAACUGACACUGAGGCUCGAAAGCGUGGGGAGCAAACAGGAUUAGAUACCCGCGUACA
rnacentral:rRNA from 1 species